rnacentral:rRNA from 1 species
AGAGUUUGAUCCUGGCUCAGGAUGAACGCUGGCGGCGUGCCUAAUACAUGCAAGUCGAACGCACAGCGAAAGGUGCUUGCACCUUUCAAGUGAGUGGCGAACGGGUGAGUAACACGUGGAUAACCUACCUCAAGGUUGGGGAUAACAUUUGGAAACAGAUGCUAAUACCGAAUAAAACUUCGUAUCGCAUGAUACAAGGUUAAAAGGCGCUACGGCGUCACCUAGAGAUGGAUCCGCGGUGCAUUAGUUAGUUGGUGGGGUAAAGGCCUACCAAGACAAUGAUGCAUAGCCGAGUUGAGAGACUGAUCGGCCACAUUGGGACUGAGACACGGCCCAAACUCCUACGGGAGGCUGCAGUAGGGAAUCUUCCACAAUGGACGAAAGCCUGAUGGAGCAACGCCGCGUGUGUGAUGAAGGCUUUCGGGUCGUAAAGCACUGUUGUAUGGGAAGAACAGCUAGAGUAGGGAAUGACUUUAGUUUGACGGUACCAUACCAGAAAGGGACGGCUAAAUACGUGCCAGCAGCCGCGGUAAUACGUAUGUCCCGAGCGUUAUCCGGAUUUAUUGGGCGUAAAGCGAGCGCAGACGGUUGAUUAAGUCUGAUGUGAAAGCCCGGAGCUCAACUCCGGAAAGGCAUUGGAAACUGGUCAACUUGAGUGCAGUAGAGGUAAGUGGAACUCCAUGUGUAGCGGUGGAAUGCGUAGAUAUAUGGAAGAACACCAGCGGCGAAGGCGGCUUACUGGACUGUAACUGACGUUGAGGCUCGAAAGUGUGGGUAGCAAACAGGAUUAGAUACCCUGGUAGUCCACACCGUAAACGAUG